rnacentral:tRNA from 1 species
GAGUCUGUAGCCUAGUUGGUAAAGGCAGCACCAAGCACUCUGGAUGCUGAGUUCAUGGGUUUGACUCCCAUCAGACACA